AAUAGUAAUGGCGCCUUAACUUUGUUUUCAGCUGAAAUUGGUUCUCUACCCUAAGUUACCAUCCCGCCUCUCUCCUAUGCUAGGUGUCUCUCUCGAUCUCUCACUCUCUUUCUCACAUGGCCGAAAAAUGAAGAAGGCUUGGAUGAAUGGAAGGGUACGUACAGAGGCUUCUCUAGGAGACAGGCUUCGAACGGGGAUGAUGCGGCAACACCAUUGUUUGACGAUGUGCGACAUGGUGAUGGGGCUUGAGGAUUGGGGCGUGCGACAGGGAGGUUGGGUCAUGGAUUCUACAGGGUGGCUCGGUCGUGGGUGUGAUGGUGCUUGCGGGGGUGGUUCGUGCGACGGGUUCGACUUCGGCAAGGGGAUUUUACUUUGAUUUCCAAAAGGCAUGAGAAGCGUUAAGAAAUUGAAGAUAAGGUUAUCUGGAUUACUGGUGCCAGUCGUGGAAUUGGUACAUAUAUAUAUUUACAUUUUUGUUUCAAACUUUCAUUUUCUGUACGUGUACUGGUUAAUUGAACUAUAUUUUUGUUAUUUCUUAAUUAUUUUCUUCUAGGGUGUUUAAAUUAGUUAAAUACUUUAUGUUAAUGCCACUUCAUUGGACAAGGUUGAUAAAAUUUUGGGCUAUUCUUUUCUUAAAUGAUUAAAAUACAUAUUUUAAAUAUUCUCAGUUGGGUUUCUCUUCAAGUUGUAAUUUUCUUUUAAAAAAAAACAAAAACAAAAACGUAUUGUUGCUUCAAAACCUUCAUGUGUUCCUUUAUGUGGUAGUUGUCACCACAAAUGUGUCAAGAUUAUGAUAUACUCAAUCAAAUUGGUUCGUGCUGUUAGAAUCAUUGUAAGCUGACACAUAACGCACAAUUUAACCUUUAUUGGAUUCAUUGCUGUUACUUAGCUUCACUGAGUGCAAAGGUACACUAGCAUGAAGAACUGCCAUAUACUGUGUUGAGCUAGUUUCUAUGUUGAACUAGUUUGAGGAUAAUGUAGAUCUUUAGUUUAGAGUUUAGGCAGUCUAAAAUAACUUAGGGGGUUCUAUGUAGAGCUUUAGUUUAGAGUUUAGGCAGUCUAAAAGUAAAAUCUUUUAUAAGCAUAUGAACUUUCAGAAAGGAUAACAGUUUUUGUAAAUUGAGAUUACUAAUAGGAACUUAGCAUAUUUGUAAAUUGAGGCUCGUUGAUGGUCUUUUUUGAUAUUAUUCCAUUACACAUUGCAUUUUUAUUAUAAAGUUGUCUCUGUAAGAUUAUCUAUUAUACUCAUGCCUAAUUAAUCUUUGAGUGACAUUUGACUUUGUUGCAGAUGCUAUAUUACAAGAUGACCAUAUGUGUGGCCAUAUAUUUUUUCAUAGAGUAUGAGUUCAAAAAGAAUUUUAAGGGCUUUAUGUGGAUCUCCUUGAUCUAAGUUGUGAUUUCUACCAUGCUAUAUUAAGUUGAAUUAGAACCUGAAGAGAUGUUUAGUUCCAAUACAAUUAUUUAUUUAUUGGGUUAAAUAACAAUCUUAUUUAGAUGAAGGACCCUCAUUUAAAUUUGGAUACAAGCACACCUAUUUUUUCAAGCAAGUGUUGUUCCAAACAUUCAAUCCACAAAGUGUAAAAGAAGAAGUGACAUUUUUUAGUCAUGUUGUAUUUGGUAGAAGUGUUCAUUGUAGACUUGUUGGGUUUCAUCUUGGUAAAAUUAUUGAGAUUGUUGAGAUCAGAUUUUUGAUCUUGUUGAUUGUUAUGGUCAAGUAUUUUAUUGGUUUAUUAAGUUUCUGUUUGGAGGCCGGUGAUUUCUGGACUGGGUUGAGUGGGUCUGUUUAACAUAUAUACAUAGUCGAACCACUUGCACUCUGUUGCCAAAUUAAUUGAUUCACUUUGGGGAUUUUUUAAGAGCUGUAGUAAAUUUUGGUUUGGAAACAAGCUUGAAUAAGAUAUAUUAAUCAGAAGUAUUUCAGUUUCAAUCACAAUAUGUUUUCUUUUAGUUAUGAAUUGUUUUGGUUUUUAUGUCUUGUAAUGAUUCUUAUAAAGCUCAUUUUAUUAUGUAUCUUUGUUGUUGAUGAUCUCAGAUUGAUAUGUGAUAUGAGAUUGUUACAGUAUCCAAUAUUAUAUGUUGAAGAGACUUGAAGAGCUCUUGUGUCUCAGUAUCUAGGAUGCUGAGAAGCAUCUUCAUACAUAUAUUUGUUUGAAUUAUUUGAUGUUUAAAUUCAAUCUCUUUUGUUAGGCAAUAUAAGCCUUCACUGUUCUUUCACAGUCAUUUUUAGGACAUUUUGAAUAGCAGUUUUGUUUUACUUUUUACAUUUGCCUGAGAUAAUUGUUGGAUUCUCUUAGAUUUAUUAUAUCUUUUGAUAAUGCCAAUCUUAGUCUUAAUAUGAAAUAUCAUGUAUUAUAUUUAUAUCUACUAGUCUUAAAUUUAUCAUUCACAACCAUAUACAUAUGCUUUUUUAUAUCAAGAUAAAUUAAUUAUAUUAAUAUUCUUUGAUAACUGAAAAAUAGUUAUGAAUAUAUAGUAAUAUUAAUAUUCAUUGAUCACUGAAGAGGCAAGAUACUCUAAUACCAAUAGCAGCACAGGACCUUAAUGAACAAUAUAUACUCUCUUAUGUUUCAGGAAACAAAUACUUCUCUCAUCUCUCCUCUCAGCUUUCAAAUUCUGUUUGUUAUUAUUAUUUUGCAGGUUUGAACAAGGUAUAUAUCAACCUAUUCAAAACCUAUAUAGUACUAAUUCAUCUGUCUGCAGACGAUGAAUGGCAUUACUCAUAACCCAGAUGCUUUCGUUGUUAAUAUUGGUAAAACUUUCAUGGUAUAUGGUAUGUAAUGCUUCACUUAAUUUUCUUGUGUGUGUAUAUAUAUUUAUCUAAUAGGGGUUUUCCUUGCAAAUAGCAUUAUUAUAUACAGUAUAUGAUCUUUAAAAUGGAUUGUUAUUUGUUUUGCCUCAUGCUCUUGACAUUGACACUCGGUGGGACAUUUUAAGACAAAGGAUUGGGGAGUUUUCUUCUUGUUGUGUUUUGGCUUUUUCUAAAUUUUGUUUGACCAAAAGUUUUGAUAUCUUUCUUUUUUAUUUAGGUUUCUUAUUUAUUUGUAUGUGAUGAUUUAUUUGCAAUAAGUUGUUUGAUUUAGUUCUGAAAGUUAGCUUUCUUAGCAUUAAUUUAGUUAUGAGUAUAUAUAUGGACUCUUGUAUCUAUUGGGUUCUCUUUUUAUGAUGCAAACCAGGUGUUUGUGAUAUUGGAUUUUGAAGUGUGAUGUGUGAAAUUCAUGCAAGUUUCCCUUACUGCAGUAGCUAGUGAUGGCUUUGGGAAGAUUACAUGACGGUGGCUUGCUGGGUUCAUAACUUCGACGAAGGCUCAAGGAUGACGAUAUAGCAAGUGGACUAGCGAGGGAACUUGAGACGCCGGGGGCACACGAUUACUUUUCUAGACCUCAUAAUUUUGGAGCUGAAAUCAUUAUGAACCUGGCUUCACAUUUAUGGCUGCUAAUUUUGAUGGAAUACUUGGAUAUGGCUGCUAAUUUUGAUGGAAUACUUGGACUUGGAUUUCAAGAGAUCUCGGUUGGAAAUGUUGUUUGGGGUUGCCUACAAAAUAAUCAAACAACUCCGGAAUGAACUUUUUUUCCUUAGAUACAUAUUUGAAACCAAGUAUGCCUCUCUUUCCCUCCACAUAUUGAAGGGGGUUUAUUAGUCACUCCAUUGGGACUGGGAGGGAGGCUCAAUGCAGGCCUACGGUUCCAGCAGCCCAAAGCAGUCUGGCCCAAUCCUCCAACUCCUUCGGCCUUCAUUCCUACAGCCACAUGCAUCUCCCUGCCCGCCACGUGUCCUCCCUCAUCUACCCAACGUUUCUAGCCUAGCCAACUUGCCUUCUUCAGUUUCAUCCAGCACCCAAUGUAAUCAUCCUUCCUUGCGCCACCUAUCCCCACCUGCCAUCAGUUAAGCUCUUUUCUCCUUCAGCCGAAGGUCCAAAGCGAAGCCUCCUUCAAUAGCAGCCUCUCCUGCUCAGUAAGCCCAAGUGGCCAAACAAAGGCCCGUGUCCAGAUCCAGCCAAAGGCAGCUCCCAUCUCCAGCAGCCCAAUCCAAAGUGACCCCCACAGCCUUGCUCCCUUUCCGCCAACGUGAACCAAAGCUAGCCCAAUGCAUCAACACCCCAGCCAGCUGCCUACGUGGUAGUUUCUCAUUGGCUGAAAAUGGGUCAAAAUCCUCUUGUGUCAUCAGCCAUGUUUUGUGGGUAUUGGGCUUUGUAAACUGCUAUUUUGAGCUUUAAAGCUCAUGUUUUUGUGGUAUUUUAGAAAAGGGGAAAAUGACCAUACACCAAAAUAGCUAGCUUAAUAUUAAUAAUAAGAUUUAAUUUUUCAAAAUCAUAUUUUAUUAUUAAUAUUUCAGAUUUAUUUUGUAAAUCCCAUUUUGUUGUUUAAUUUCUUUUUGGUCAUUUUUUCCUUUUAUAAAUAGGGACUCCUUCACAUUAUGUAUGUAAUUUUUAGAGUAGAGAAACUAUAGUAAAAUUUCCACUCACUUUCUUCUCAUAUUUUCUUCUUAGAAUUUUGUGAGAAUUAUGAACAUAAUGGCCUAAUCUUCUUAGGAAGGUUAUGGACGAUUCCAUAUGCAAGUGAUGUUAUUUUGCUACUUUGAUUUACUAUGUCUUAAUGUAAUAUAUUUGAGUUAUUUAUGUUCUUUCA